rnacentral:rRNA from 1 species
UACAGAGGGGGCAAGCGUUAUUCGGAAUUAUUGGGCGUAAAGGGCGCGUAGGCGGCUUGGCAAGUGGAAGGUGAAAUCCCUCGGCUUAACCGAGGAACUGCCCUCCAAACUGCUUUGCUUGAGGCCGGGAGAGGUGAGUGGAAUUCCCAGUGUAGCGGUGAAAUGCGUAGAUAUUGGGAGGAACACCAGUGGCGAAGGCGGCUCACUGGACCGGUUCUGGCGCUGAUGCGCGAAAGCGUGGGGAGCAAACGGG